rnacentral:lncRNA from 1 species
GGCGGAUGCUCUACAAGAUUCUACCCAUUUUUAAGUCCUACAAGGUAUGUAUGCGUACUUGUCUCGGUCUUACACAUAAGGGCAUAAAUGAUCUCAAGAUCACACAUCUUAAAAGUGGCAGAGCUUGGAUCUGAAUACGCGCUGGUAUAUCUUCAAAGUCACGAGGUUUUCCAACAUCCGUUGCCGUUGGUAACAGUGGAGAGAGGAGGUGAAUGAUGCACGGAUAUAUGAAGUCACCUCUUUCUGGCCCAGGAACUGGAAUUUAUAGUCCUACAGGCUCAGUCUUCACAUCAAAUAUUUUAUUGAAUUGGAUUUAAACCUCUUCACUGUCUCGUGAACCUGAUGAGGUAAGACCUAGUAAAUGCUUCGUGUUGGCUUUUGUCCCAGCGCAGUGGAUACGAGCACUUUACAGUGAUAAUUUCCUCCUAAUUGGUUGUAACGAAUGCACUGCCAUUCUGGAAUUUGUCACUUACCGAAAUGGACCCUAGCAAAUGGAGCAUGUUCUCCAUCUAAAUGUAAAUUCACACACACUAAAAAACAGCCUGGUGGAGACGCCAGCGAGGUAAAGGGAAAAGGUGACCCCGAAGGACACGCCUGAGUGGGCAGGAGGUGACCUAGUGAGAAGGCCACCUCGCGCUAAAUCCUGUUUGGUUGAGGGAGGAUGGCCAAAAAAGCAGGACUCUAGAAUCCUCUGCGAGAAGUCGGUCUGUGUCUCCCGGGUUAGUCUUUCCUCUUCGUAGAUCUGUUUUCUCCUAAGUGGAAUGCGGAGGCUCGGUCGGGUCUGCGGUUUCCAUGGCGAAUAGUAUUCAAACCACUGGGAGUGAGGGUCCCCCAGGGUGCCUCCAGCCGCCACAUGCUGAGAUCGCACGGCUCCUCCCUGUCUCCAGUGGCCCCAGAUGCACCUGCUCUGAGGGAGCAACAUUGGUCUGUGCCUACAGCCACAACUCCCCAGUGUGGACCACACGUUGCUAAGUGAGCCAGCCCCAGCCGCCAGAGAACUUGUUCCUUGACCCCUCACCUGCUUGCCUCACACCGUCUGGCCUGGCCGUGGCACUGUUGGAAGGAGGGGCCUUCUGCCUCAGUCUCCGGGUCCCAUCCGAAGAAGUCCAAUCUGUUGGGCAGAUAUGGGUGUCGCCCCUCAAGCCCCUGGACGGAGGUGCCGGACUCUAAGCAAAGGCAAGAGAAUGAUCACUUCCCCAACCCAGUGUCAGUUCUCUGCUCAGCGGGACCUCUAACUGUUCUGUGUCCAGACUCACAAAGUUUCUAGUAAAGUUCUCCGUCUUUCACU